GUAACGACAUGUUCUUGUGAAAGAUCUAUAUCAACGCUACGACGAGUAAAAACAUAUUUAAGAAGCUCGAUGACCCAGAAUCGAUUUAAUGGCUAUGUGUUGCUAAAUAUCCAAAACGGGAUGAAAAUAAAUUUAAAUGACGUAAUCGAUAUGCUGGCAAUAAAAUAUCCAAAAAGACUUAAAAUGUUAGAUAUCAUGAACAACGAUUAAAAGUGUAGCAGUCUUGAUAAAAAUAUAAAUCUUGUAUAUUAUUAUCUGUUGUUUAAAUGUCGCCGUAUAUAAAUUCCCUAAAA